GCCGCCGGCCUCGCCCACCCGCCUGCCUCUCGCCCGGCGGCCGCUCCCGGAUCCCGAUCCCCGCGGGGAGGAGCCAGGGAGAUGACAUCGAACAUCCUGGCGUACAACAUGGAACAUGGUCCACCAAAAAGACAUCUCCACACGGACUCCCUCCAGCUUCAUUGGAGUGGACCAUACCAGAGAUGGUUCACUUAAGUAACAGAAAUUUACCUAAAUGGCCUACUCAAGGUCACCUGAGAAGUCCUCUGUGUCAUCUGCUGAUGGAUAUUCAAAGUGUAAAAAUACCUGCGGCCUCCUUGCAGAUCCAAAUUCAUAGCAUCCUUUGGCAAGUGCCAUUGGAGGGAUGAAUCAUCUUCUUUACUCUUUACAGCAAGGCUCCUACCUGUUGGCCUUCCCUCAGCUUCACCAAGCGCCCACAUACCGGGAAACGCAGACUUCAGCCCCCCUCUUUCCUAUCUUAUCUGCACUAAAAGCAGAGUGAGGACAGAACAUGACUUUUUCUGAGAUGUUUUUAUGAAUCACUUUGAUCAAAUAGUUGGCCAUAUCUUCUUUUGUUCCCCCAAAUUCUUCUAUUAAUCCAGUCAACAAACAUUUUUGAAACACGUAUUUUGUUGCUACUCACUGUGCUAGACACAGGGGACACUAGUCAUGCCCCUCCUUCGUGGGCAGGACAGACAGUAAAAAAGAACCAGCCCCACUGUGGUCAGUGCUAUGAAGAUGGCAAACGUGAUGAGCUGGGGGAGGAACGCAGGAAUGGAUGGAGCAGGGAAGGCCUCUAGUUGAUGUAUGGAGCCUGGGGGUAGUUCUGUACAGGAAGGUGACAGGGACCCUAACAGUUGUGGGGGGGGGACUUUUUGGAACUGAAGCAGCAGGUAUAGAGUGAGCACUUCCAUGUACCACACUUGUGUCUACACAAUGUCAAAACAUUUUUUAAAAAAUAAUGACCCUCAACCCCAGCAAAAGAAGAACCCUGGAAUAUAUACUGAAGGACCCAUGGGUCAAUAUGGGCCAGAAGGAGGAACUCUGGCCUAACAGCGAGCCACCCUGGGGCCACAUGGACCCCCAAGUAACAGAGAUAAUGAAGAAUCUGGGAUUUGAGUGGGACGAGAUCCAGGAAUCAGAAACAGAAAGUACAACACGUACCUGAUCUUAAUAAGUUCCACGGAAUACAAGGUGAAGGGCCACACUAUCAGGGUAAGACCUGGUGUUCCCUUCACCCCACAGUUGCAGUCCUUCCCCAGCCUGAGAGGUUCUUCCAUCAGAGAGAAGACCAGAGAGCCUGCCAUUCACCCGCCCAGCCCAGCCCCCCAGCGUGGCCUGGGGGCUCCCCUUCCACCCACAGCAGCAACAACAAAAACUCCUUCCAUGCUGAGCAGCCUGAUGGUGGACCCCAGUUCUCCCUCUGGCCAGUCAGGGCCAGCAGGGGUGGCUAGGAGGGUCUUCAGUUUCCUGUUAAGCCUCAUGUACUGCAAGCCAUCCACUAACAAGCAGCAUGUCUAAAGGACGAGUCAAGCUAAUGUAAUUCUUAAAAUUGUGGAUGGCCAAGGCAGGGCCACAAAGACUCAGGGAAGUCAAGCUACACUCCCUGCAUUUUAAAUGCUGAACUUCAAGGUGCUGAGCUUCCGGGAGGUCAGCCAGAGGCUGGAUGCAAACAGCCGCCGGUCCGAGUGGUGCUAGAAAUACAUGCUGUGUGUGCAGAAACCUGUGAGUGAGAGGGUUCGUAUCAGGAAGGUAUCCGGCACCUCCACGGCCUUCAGAAGCAUCUUAACCGCUUGGAGGACGGCCCGGAGCCCUCUGGGGGUCAAAAGGAGAGGCCGUCCUCACUGUGGGUCCACCCCUUGGCCUCCACUUGAAUGAGACUUCAGAGAAUGGACUGCUUUUUCCUGGGGCCCUUCUCCCUGGCCCUGCUAUUGUUUUCUCCCAUUUUGGGGUGAUUUUAUUAAAGUAUUUGGUUCUUCCAAAUCUUGUAAUAAACUUGAUGCUUCAGGAAAAAAACAUUAACAAUGACUAAUUGUGAUACUAUCUCCUUGUCUUACCAAAUGUAUUGAAAUAACAUUAGUGUAUUUAUUUUUUAACAACCACCAUCUAAAAAAAAAAAUCUCAAAGUGGCAUUUAUUUGACCAAGACAGCCUUAGCAUCAUAAAUCCACUAAAUCUUACACACAUAUAUUCCAUCUGGUGAGGUAUUACGCACAUUCAGAGAUCCUUGACUUUAGAAGUUUUGAUGGAACAUCACUUCAGGUUAUGA